rnacentral:misc_RNA from 1 species
UCACUCUCUUCAACAUUUCUAUUUACUCCUACAACUUCAUUGAGUUCUUGUUUAACCUUUCUCAUGGCCUCAGGCUUGCGAAGUAACUCUACCAUGGCCCAUUCUGAUAUUGUGCUUGUAGUCUCUGACCCAGCCAAAAACAUUUCCAAUAUGAUUAUGACGAUUUUUUCAUAUGGGAUCUUCUCAUUCCAAUCUUUCCCAUCACCUUCAAAUUCCAACAAU